rnacentral:rRNA from 1 species
GUAACGCGUGAGUAACCUGCCUUUCAGAGGGGGAGUAACGUUCUGAAAAGAAACGCUAAUACCGCAUGAGACUACAGAGCUGCAUGGCUCAGUGGUCAAAGGAGCAAUCCGCUGAAAGAUGGACUCGCGUCCGAUUAGAUAGUAGGCGGGGUAACGGCCCACCAAGGCAACGAUCAGUAGCCGGUCUGAGAGGAUGAACGGCCACAUUGGAACUGAGACACGGUCCAAACUCCUACGGGAGGCAGCAUG